rnacentral:rRNA from 1 species
UCUAAGUACACAGUUUUGUAAACUGAAACCGCGGAUGGCUCAUUAUAACAGCUAUGAUUUGAGAGAUAUAAUCUAUUUGCCAUAAGAUAACUGUGGUAAUUCUAGAGCUAAUAUUUUAAAGAAUGCCGUGACUCACGAAGCGGUGGAUUUAUUAGAUCAAAACUAACCUGUCGCAAGAUAGAAUUUUGAUGACUCUGGAUAACUUAACUGAUCGUACAACUGUUGUUGACGACGAAUCUCUUGAAAUGGCUGACCUAUCAACUUUCGAUGGUAAGAUCAAAGCUUACCAUGGUUGUAACGGGUAACGGGGAAUCAGUGUUCGAUUCCGGAGAGGGAGCCUGAGAAACGGCUACCACAUCCACGGAAGGCAGCAGGCGCGAAAAUUACCCAAUACCGGUUCGGUGAGGUAGUGACAAUAAAUAACAAUAUGGGCCCUAGUGGUUUCAUAAUUGCAAUGAGAAUAUUUUAAAUACUUUAUCAAGUAUCAAUUGGAGGGCAAGUCUGGUGCCAGCAGCCGCGGUAAUUCCAGCUCCAAAAGCGUAUAUUAAAUUUGUUGCAGUUAAAAAGCUCGUAGUUGGAAUUGAGGAACAAUUCUUAAUCAGUCGUAAGAUUGCAUUUUGAAUUUUCCUUCCCGUCGUGUAUAUUGAUUAAUCACUUAAUUGGGAUUUUUUGGUAACCGACAAGUUUACUUUGAAAAAAUUAGAGUGCUUAACGCAGGCUUUUGCUUGUAUAUUGUUGCAUGGAAUAAUGAAAUAAGACUUCGGUUUUAUUUUGUUGGUUUUCGAAACUGAAGUAAUGAUUAAAAGAGACUGCCGGGGGCAUAUGUAUGCUGGUGC